UACAUGGGGGGCAAGCGUUGUUCGGAAUUACUGGGCGUAAAGGGUGCGUAGGUGGUUUGUUAAGUCAGGGGUGAAAUCCCGCGGCCCAACCGUGGAACUGCCUUUGAUACUGGCGAACUUGAGUGCGUGAGGGGUAGGGGGAACGAGCAGUGUAGCGGUGAAAUGCGUAGAUAUUGCUCGGAAGGCCAGAGCCGAAGGGGCCCUACUGGUGCGUAACUGACACUGAGGAACGAAAGCGUGGGGAGCAAACAGG
rnacentral:rRNA from 1 species